UCUAUAUCUUAAAUCAAGCCGGACACUAAAAACAACAGUUUAAAAUCCAAAGAUCUUGGCGGUGUCUCAUAUAGUCAGGGGAACCUGUCCCUUAAUUCGAUAAUCCACGAAUGUCCUACCCUCUCUUGUUUUCAGCUUAUGUACGGCCGUCUAGCGUACCUUAAAAAGAAGUACACAAUAAUAAAUCUAUGUAAGUCAGGUCAAAGUGUAGCCAAUGAGAGGGAGGUGAUGGGUUACACCUUAAAUCAAAAACAGAAAUCUGAUAAAACCCAGAUAAAAAGCUGGACUUGAUAGUAAUAGAUUUAACUAAGUAUCUAUGAACUUGAAUCUGAGACAUGCACACAUCGCCCGUCACUCUCGCUGAAAAGUG
rnacentral:rRNA from 1 species